rnacentral:lncRNA from 1 species
CUUAUCCAUUCUUAGACUUUCAGCACUGCAGACCUCAGUCUUAUCUUGCUUGUUUCCCAGCUCACCCUUUUGCAUCAGAAAAAGUUUGCUUUAUUUUUGGUAAUUAACCUUUUCUCUUGCCAGCAGUAGAUGAAGUGCAGGGCUUCCUAAUUGGUAUGUUGUUGUAUCUGACCACUAUCCAUCCUCAUGGGGGCAUUCCAUCAUUGUUAGGGCUGGAGUCUCAGUCUGAAUCCUUGAGACAGAGCUGCGUUAUCAUUUACUCUGAGUAGGAAUGCAGCAGAAAUCAAUGAAAUGAAUGAUUAUUAUUACCCAGAACUGACCUGAAUUCAGAUGCUGAACUUUUAAGAAGACAGAGGUGCAGAGUGACUGAGUAACACCAAGUUACACUUGAUAGCACACGUCUCAUCUGGAAGUGAAAGUUGACUGUAACUAGUUUUUCACCACCUAGUAAGCAGAAAAAAAAAUGUGACAUUUUACUGACCAGUGAACUUCUCAGGAUAUAGGGUGGAUAAUGCAGCAUCUACAUAUUGAAGUAAAGAGCAAUGCUCAAGUCUUGAAGUACAGCCAAGGAGAUAAGCCAUAUCCUGGGGAGGUCCUGUCCUGCAAUUCUUAUUACAGCAAGCAGGCCUAAGAAACCAAUAUAAACUACUACACUAGAUGGGAAAGUGAGCAGCUACAGGGCCACUCCUCCAUCACCUCUGAGCCUUGCCCUCUUCGUCUGGCUCUAUCUCAAUGUCAACACAUGACAAGGAUCAACUAUGCAAAUGUUAAGGGGAAAAGAGGUCCUGCCUUCAGCCUCUGCCUGCACAACCCUGAGGUCUUCCGAGACAUCUGCGGUAAGCUUGUAGAUGCAGGACCUACAAGACAACCACAUCUUUCUGGAAAAGCAUCUUGAAAAAAAAGACGAAGAUGUGAAGUAAGUGCGUUUUUUUACAUCAAAGCACCACACUACAGUGGGACAUGAAGGGAGAAGUGGCGUGUUGCCUUUGCCUUGGUCAGUGGAGGAAGAUGGAUGUGGCUCUGGGCAUCCUGGUCUAGUGGUUAGCGACCCUGCAGGGGGGGUUGAAACAAGAUGAUCGUUCUGGUCCUUUUCAACCCAGGCAAUUCUAUGAUUCUAUGAAGAUGACAAUGGAGAAUGCCAUCUGGAGGUCUCUCACUCUCCACAGUCAUUGUAGAGAGUAUAAGCCACUGUGUUCUUAAAAAUGUAUGCCAAAUUUCCCUGAGUGUUAGAGGUAAGGUGGCAGUUCCUCCAAGGAUGUGGACAGAGACAUCAUUCAAAACCUAGUACAAGACCACCCA